rnacentral:misc_RNA from 1 species
GUAGGUGAACCUGCGGAAGGAUCAUUAAUUACGAAAGCUAUAGCCCCUCCGGGGGUUAUUGCAUCCACCCUUUGUCUACGUGUACCUCUGUUGUUUCCUCGGCGGGCUUGCCCGCCAUGAGGACAAUAAAAACCCUUUGCAGUAGCAGUAACUUCAGUUAAUAAUAAAUAUUAAAACUUUCAACAACGGAUCUCUUGGUUCUG